rnacentral:lncRNA from 1 species
AUGUUUUAUUGUUAUCAGCAUCUCACUGCUGAGAUAAACUGCAUGUAUCUGCGACAAAAAUGUGGUUUAUUUUUUUUUGUUAUUUAUUUCAUCGGUCACAUGUUCAGUGGAAAUACAAUGGUCCCCUUACUGCUCCUCAUGCUGCUCCAAGAAACGCUGGCUGACAAAGUUUAUCUCCACUUUUUAAAUAGUAGCAUUCGUGUUAACAUGACGGGGGUUGACAUCGUAGAUGACCUAUCUGGUAAUGUCGAAUGUGUGGCGGGAGAUCUUCAAUGUUUCUUUCACUGUGUUGAGUUCAAGAGCAUGCCAUGGUUCAAUGGAUCAUCUGUUUACUUAGAGGCUGAUGUGAAUAACCUUACUGACAAGAUCGUCUACAGCUUUUCUGAAAAUAGAGGAAAGUGCACUCUAUACCCCUGUAAGGCAAAUAUUAUUUUACCCCUGAUUACUCUACUGGAUGGAAAUAGCUUUUAUCAAAAGGAAAUUAUAUAUCUCCACUCCGCACGGGAUUCAUGUCCACAGCUCUUCAGUAGCAGCUCUGAGGUCAACACAUCCUUUAUCAAGUAAGUUUCAGACCUGUUGCAGGUGCUCCUUUGUCUGCUGCUCCGUAGACUUAUACAUUACUUCACACUGUUUCUGUCUGUCAGUCUCAAUCUCAAUAACAACAAAACAAUUGUUACAGACAUUCAUGGUUCCCAGAGGAUGAAUGGAGGCUGGGAAAAAAAAAUUCAUCUCUCACUUUUGGUUUCUUC